UGUGUUGGCUGGGCCUGUUGAAAUUCUUCCCACAGCCUCAUGAGAGAAAGGGGCACACAGAGAAAGGAACAGGUGUUCAGGAUGUCUAUAUAUUAAAAAAAAGAAACACAUGCAAGAACUUCAUAAGAAAGUGUUUUAAGGAAUUGUAGACACAGGGGCUCAAGAAGGAAAUCUCUUUCUCCUUAAUGAAAAUAAUGUUGGGAAAAGAGAAAUUCAGGAAUUCUCUCCCCUAUGAUUCAUAUCCCCAGAUAUUCUCUGGCAUUCUCACUAUAUAGUUUCCUUUUUUUUUUUUUUUUUUUUUGUACUGUAUUGCUUUUUUUUUUUUUUUUUUUUUUCCCCCAGAAAGAGAAAAUCUUACUGGAGAAAACCAUGCCAAGCCUGAGAACAUUGAGUACCCAAGGCCAAGCUCAACAAGGGCAGAGAACUUUCCGGCAAGAAAUUAUCCCAUCUGUAACAAGGCCAGUCUCAUGGUCUACAGCUCACAAUUGGCAAGAAGAUAGCCAGACUGCAACAGGACAUAAACCUGAGGAUGUUUUUUUGUGUGGGAUUCUACAACUUCAUCAUUGUUGAGUUACUAUUCUGUGCCAAAAUCCCCACCUUCUUCUCCCUCCUUCCCAAAUAUACCUUUGAAUGUGUAUUGUGUCAAUGCACAGAGAUGAACCUCACAUCAUUCAGAGCUGAAACACUUCAUCUGGAGACAUGUUGACAGAAAUGGCAUCUAUUCCUUUGUUGGAUUUUAGCAUAUUUUGCAGCAAGGAUAGAGGACAACUUUGAAAUGAUGAGGUAGGCCUUUGUUAGUUUCCUAAACAUGCUAGAAGUGGUGAAUUCUUGGUAUGACCAUGAUGGAGGAUGCAUUGAUGUGGACUGCUUUCUAUUUACUUAAGAAGUUCACAUAUCUUUAAGGCAUUUCUUAUUUUACAAAUACAAAACAUGAAAUGUUAUGAUCACUCAAAUUUUAUAUUACAUUUUAAGAAAAAGUGAUGAGGGAUCCCUGGGUGGCGCAGCGG
rnacentral:lncRNA from 1 species